rnacentral:lncRNA from 1 species
GGGUAGAGAGUUUAGAAUGGCAUCUUUCUCCAACUGCUCAUAUAGGGAAAAGUCAAGCUUACUUAAAUGCUCAAUCAUUUUGAUCAUGUAUAGUACAUGAUCGGUGACUGACACUCCUCUCAUUCGAGCGUUGAAGAUGGCACAACUAGUCUUGUACCUAUCAACAUCGUCGGGUGUGCCAAAAGACUCAUUCAACAUUUGUAACAUAUCUUGUGGCUGAGCAUUCUCAAAACGAUGGCUGAACUCAUCAUUCAUUGUCGCUAGCAUAAUGCAACAAAUCGUAGUU